ACAUACGUCCAUAGGAAACUGGAUCACCGAAACCCGUCCGUUCUUCUGUAGUUAAGCAGUUUACCGGCGAGCUAGUAGUCAGGUGGGUGACCACUGGCGAAUCCCCGCUGUCGUAUGUU
rfam:Bipolaris zeicola 26-R-13 unplaced genomic scaffold scaffold_240, whole genome shotgun sequence.